rnacentral:rRNA from 1 species
GAUGAACGCUGGCGGUAUGCCUAACACAUGCAAGUCGUACGAGAGUUUUUAACUCUAGUGGCGGACGGGUGAGUAACACGUGAGAAUUUGCCUUUAGGAGGGGGAUAACAAUUGGAAACGAAUGCUAAUACCCCAUAUGCUUUUGAGUGAAACGGAUUUAUCCGCCUAGAGAGAAGCUCGCGGCUGAUUAGCUUGUUGGUAAGGUAAGAGCUUACCAAGGCGACGAUCAGUAUCUGGUUUGAGAGGACGAUCAGACACACUGGAACUGAGACACGGUCCAGACUCCUACGGGAGGCAGCAGUGGGGAAUUUUCCGCAAUGGGCGAAAGCCUGACGGAGCAAUACCGCGUGAGGGAAGAAUGCCUAUGGGCUGUAAACCUCUUUUUCAGGGAGGAAUAAAAUGACGUGUACCUGAAGAAUAAGCAUCGGCUAACUCCGUG